AUUGAACGCUGGCGGCAGGCUUAACACAUGCAAGUCGAACGAGUGGCGGACGGGUGAGUAAUGCUUGGGAAACUAGCUUAUGGAGGGGGAUAACUACGGGAAACUGUAGCUAAUACCGCGUACCAUAAGAUGAGCCCAGGUGGGAUUAGGUAGUUGGUGAGGUAAAGGCACACAACGCCCACGAUCUCUAGCUGGUCUGAGAGGAUGACCAGCGACACUGGGAGUGAGGAAUGGCCCUGACUCCUACGGGAGGCAGCAUUGGGGAACAGUGCGCAAUGGGCGCAAGCCUGAUGGAGCCAUGCCGCGUGAAUGAAGAAGGCCUUAGGGUUGGAAAGUUCUUUUAUCGGGGAGGCGUUACCUGCAGAAGAAGCACCGGCUAACUCCGUGCCAGCCGCCGCGGUAAUUG
rnacentral:rRNA from 1 species